GUGUCAGCCGCCGCGGUAAUACAGAGGGUGCGAGCGUUAAUCGGAAUUACUGGGCGUAAAGCGAGCGUAGGUGGCUUAAUAAGUCAGAUGUGAAACCCCCGGGCUUAACCUGGGAACUGCAUCUGAAACUGUUCGGCUAGAGUAGGUGAGAGGGAAGUAGAAUUCCAGGUGUAGCGGUGAAAUGCGUAGAGAUCUGGAGGAAUACCGAUGGCGAAGGCAGCUUCCUGGCAUCAUACUGACACUGAGGUUCGAAAGCGUGGGUAGCAAACAGGAUUAGAAACCCCCGUAGUCC
rnacentral:rRNA from 1 species